UACGGGGGGGCAAGCGUUGUUCGGAAUUACUGGGCGUAAAGGGCUCGUAGGCGGCCAACUAAGUCAUACGUGAAAUCCCUCGGCUUAACCGGGGAACUGCGUCUGAUACUGGAUGGCUUGAGUUCGGGAGAGGGAUGCGGAAUUCCAGGUGUAGCGGUGAAAUGCGUAGAUAUCUGGAGGAACACCGGUGGCGAAGGCGGCAUCCUGGACCGAUACUGACGCUGAGGAGCGAAAGCCAGGGAGCAAACGG
rnacentral:rRNA from 1 species